AAUGACGAGCCUGAUUAAAGGAUUAUCGUGAUAGGAUAAAACAUGUAGAAUAAAUCUCUACCCUCAUUA
rnacentral:tRNA from 1 species